UACUAGACGGGAAGGCC
rnacentral:tRNA from 1 species